UACGUAGGGGGCAAGCGUUGUCCGGAGUUACUGGGCGUAAAGAGCUUGUAGGCGGUUUGUCGCGUCUGCUGUGAAAAUCCGGGGCUCAACCCCGGACUUGCAGUGGGUACGGGCAGACUAGAGUGUGGUAGGGGAGACUGGAAUUCCUGGUGUAGCGGUGAAAUGCGCAGAUAUCAGGAGGAACACCGGUGGCGAAGGCGGGUCUCUGGGCCGUAACUGACGCUGAGGAGCGAAAGCGUGGGGAGCGAACAGG
rnacentral:rRNA from 1 species